rnacentral:rRNA from 1 species
GACGUAGGGUGCGAGCGUUAAUCGGAAUUACUGGGCGUAAAGCGUGCGCAGGCGGUUUUGUAAGCCAGAUGUGGAGUCCCCGGGCUCAACCUGGGAAUGGCAUUUGGGACUGCAAGGCUGGAGUGUGGCAGAGGGGACUAGAAUUCCUGGUGUAGCAGUGAAAUGCGUAGAUAUCAGGAGGAAUACUGAUGGCGAAGGCAGGUCCCUGGGUUAACACUGACGCUCAUGCACGAAAGCGUGGGGAGCAAACAGG